AUUGAACGCUGGCGGCAUGCCUUACACAUGCAAGUCGAACGGCAGCACGGGGCAACCUGGUGGCGAGUGGCGAACGGGUGAGUAAUGCAUCGGAACGUACCUUUCAGUGGGGGAUAACGUAGCGAAAGUUACGCUAAUACCGCAUAUUCUGUGAGCAGGAAAGCAGGGGAUCGCAAGACCUUGCGCUGAUUGAGCGGCCGAUGUCAGAUUAGCUAGUUGGUGAGGUAAGGGCUCACCAAGGCGACGAUCUGUAGCGGGUCUGAGAGGAUGAUCCGCCACACUGGAACUGAGACACGGUCCAGACUCCUACGGGAGGCAGCAGUGGGGAAUUUUGGACAAUGGGGGCAACCCUGAUCCAGCCAUGCCGCGUGAGUGAAGAAGGCCUUCGGGUUGUAAAGCUCUUUCGGCCGGGAAGAAAUCGCACGGGCUAAUACCCUGUGUGGAUGACGGUACCGGAAUAAGAAGCACCGGCUAAUUACGUGCCAGCCGCCGCGGUAAUAC
rnacentral:rRNA from 1 species